AAAACAAUUGUCAUUCCGUGUGUAGUGGCGAGCGAUAGCGGAUGAGGCUAAACCGUGUGCGUGUGAUACCUGGCAGGGGUUGCGUGUGCGGUGUUGUGGGACGCAAAUGUUGCAGGCUGCCGACUGCAAGCGCAAUUUGCAUGCAUCAGCGGAAGCAUCUGGGAUGGUGCACCGGAGUAGGUGAAUAGUCCUGUACGUGAAGGUGUGUGUGGUUGUGUUGUUUGUGUUCCCGAGUAGCAGCGGGCUCGUGGAAUCUGCUGUGAAUCUGCCGGGACCACCCGGUAAGCCUAAAUACUCAGUGUGACCGAUAGUGGAUGAAGUACCGUGAGGGAAUGGUGAAAA
rnacentral:rRNA from 1 species